rnacentral:rRNA from 1 species
AACGAACGCUGGCGGCAUGCCUAACACAUGCAAGUCGAACGAGACCUUCGGGUCUAGUGGCGAACGGGUGCGUAACGCGUGGGAACCUGCCCUUAGGUUCUGACUAACUCCCCGAAAGGGGUGCUAAUACCGGAUAAUGUCUUCGGACCAAAGAUUUAUCGCCUUUGGAUGGGCCCGCGUUGGAUUAGCUAGUUGGUAGGGUAAAAGCCUACCAAGGCGACGAUCCAUAGCUGGUCUGAGAGGAUGAUCAGCCACACUGGGACUGAGACCCGGCCCAGACUCCUACGAGAGGCAGCAGUGGGGAAUAUUGGACAAUGGGCGAAAGCCUGAUCCAGCAAGGCCGCGUGAGUGAUGAAGGCCUUAGGGUUGUAAAGCUCUUUUAACCGGGAUGAUAAUGACAGUACCGGGAGAAUAAGCUCCGGCUAACUACGUG